UACGGAGGGUGCAAGCGUUAUCCGGAUUUACUGGGUUUAAAGGGUGUGUAGGCGGGCUUUUAAGUCUGGGGUGAAAUCCCGAAGCUCAACUUCGGAACUGCCUUGGAUACUAUUAGCCUUGAAUUCUGUUGAGGUUGGCGGAAUAUAACAUGUAGCGGUGAAAUGCAUAGAUAUGUUAUAGAACACCGAUUGCGAAGGCAGCUAACUAAACAGACAUUGACGCUGAGGCACGAAAGCGUGGGGAUCAAACAGG
rnacentral:rRNA from 1 species